rnacentral:pre_miRNA from 1 species
AAGUAAUUGUUUCCAUGUUGAUUUAUUGUUAAAUAACUCACCGGGAAUACAAUUACCAAU